rnacentral:rRNA from 2 species
UACGGAGGGUGCGAGCGUUGUCCGGAAUCACUGGGCGUAAAGGGCGCGUAGGCGGUCUGCUAAGCGUGCGGUGAAAGCCUGGGGCUCAACCCCAGGUCUGCCGUGCGAACUGGUGGACUAGAGCACUGUAGAGGCAGGUGGAAUUUCGGGUGUAGCGGUGGAAUGCGUAGAGAUCCGAAAGAACACCGGUGGCGAAGGCGGCCUGCUGGGCAGUUGCUGACGCUGAGGCGCGACAGCGUGGGGAGCAAACAGG